CCUACGGGUGGCAGCAGUGAGGAAUAUUGGUCAAUGGACGUAAGUCUGAACCAGCCAAGUAGCGUGCAGGAAGACGGCCCUAUGGGUUGUAAACUGCUUUUGUAUGGGGAUAAAGUCAAUCACGUGUGAUUGUUUGCAGGUACCAUACGAAUAAGGACCGGCUAAUUCCGUGCCAGCAGCCGCGGUAAUACGGAAGGUUCAGGCGUUAUCCGGAUUUAUUGGGUUUAAAGGGAGCGUAGGCUGGAGAUUAAGUGUGUUGUGAAAUGUAGACGCUCAACGUCUGAAUUGCAGCGCAUACUGGUUUCCUUGAGUACGCACAACGUUGGCGGAAUUCGUCGUGUAGCGGUGAAAUGCUUAGAUAUGACGAAGAACUCCGAUUGCGAAGGCAGCUGACGGGAGCGCAACUGACGCUGAAGCUCGAAGGUGCGGGUAUCGAACAG
rnacentral:rRNA from 1 species